AAUGAACGUUGGCGGCGUGGAUUAGGCAUGCAAGUCGAGCGAGAACCCCGCAAGGGGGGACAGCGGCGAAAGGGACAGUAAUGUGUAGAUUAUCUGCCCUCAGGUCCGGGAUAGCUGCGGGAAACUGCAGGUAAUACCGGAUAACAUCUCCGGAUCAAAGGUGUGAUUCCGCCUGAGGAUGAGUCUGCAUCCUAUUAGCUAGUUGGUGGGGUAAUGGCCUACCAAGGCAUUGAUGGGUAGCAGGUGUGAGAGCACGACCUGCGUCAUUGGGACUGAGACACUGCCCAGACACCGACGGGUGGCUGCAGGCGAGAAUCUUCGGCAAUGGGCGCAAGCCUGACCGAGCGACGCCGCGUGUGGGAUGAAGGCCGUCGGGUUGUAAACCACUGUCAGAGGGGAUGAAAUGCAGGUGGGUUCUCCCAUCUGUUUGACAUAGCCUCAGAGGAAGGACGGGCUAAGUUCGUG
rnacentral:rRNA from 1 species